GAUGAACGCUAGCGGCAGGCUUAACACAUGCAAGUCGAGGGGCAGCGGGUUUGUAGCAAUACAGACGCCGGCGACCGGCGCAAGGGUGCGUAACGCGUGAGCGACAUGCCCGUGACCGGGGGAUAACCGAUGGAAACGUCGCCUAACCCCCCAUAUGAUCAUACACCGCAUGGUGUCUGAUUGAAAACCCUGGUGGUCACGGAUUGGCUCGCGUCCCAUUAGCUAGUCGGCGGGGUAACGGCCCACCGAGGCGACGAUGGGUAGGGGUUCUGAGAGGAAGGUCCCCCACAAUGGAACUGAGACACGGUCCAUACUCC
rnacentral:rRNA from 1 species